UACGGAGGGUGCUAGCGUUAUCCGGAUUUACUGGUUUAAAGGGUGCGUAGGCGGAAGAUUAAGUCAGAUGUGAAAGCUAGCAGCUUAACUGUUAGAUUGCGUUUGAUACUGGUUUUCUUGAAUUCGGUGGAAGUAGGCGGGAUAAAUCAUGUAGCGGUGAAAUGCACAGAUAUGAUUUAGAACACCGAUUGCGAAGGCAGCUUGCUAUCCCGAUAUUGACGCUGAGGCACGAGAGCGUGGGGAUCAAACAGG
rnacentral:rRNA from 1 species